AAGCCCCGUGGUGAAGACCACGUCAGAUUGCAAAUCUGAAGAUGCCGGCUAAUAAGCCUGCCGGGGCUU
rnacentral:tRNA from 1 species